UCAUCAUUUUUUUGUCCGAGAGCUAAUCAGAAAAUGUAGGUUUAUGGUGCCUUCAGUUCUGAAUUUUGUAAGGAUGUAAAACCGAUAAUUUUCCAUGUGGUUUUUUGAUGAGAAACACUCAAAUAUUGUAAACGACAUCUCUCACUCGAAGAAUUAUCUUCAGAACUCUAAAACUUUCAUUGACCAUCAGCAUAAAAGAGCAAUGAUAAACGUAUCGAAGAAAAUAUUGAAGCAAUCUGCAACUUAUUUUAUAGUUCAGAUAUCAACGCUGCCAAGGUAAACAAAUAAGUACGGUAAUACUCCAAUUAUUUAUAUCUACAGAUAACAACACCGACAAAAAAUUAUAUUUAUUUCAAUUGUUCACUCUAUUGAUCCAACCAUAUGACGAAAAUUGAAGAUUUGAAGGACGCAGAGACAUUCUUGAUAUUUUAGUGGUAUUUUCCAG